rnacentral:rRNA from 1 species
ACUCAAAUGAAUUGACGGGGGCCCGCACAAGCGGUGGAGCAUGUGGAUUAAUACGUCACUAACCGUAGAACCUUACCCAGGCUUGACAUCCCCGGAACCCCUCUGAAAGGAGGGGGUGCCUCGCAAGAGGAGCCGGGAGACAGGUGUUGCAUGGCUGUCGUCAGCUCGUGUCGUGAGAUGUUGGGUUAAGUCCCGCAACGAGCGCAACCCUCACCGUAUGUUGCCAGCCUUCAGUUGGGCACUCUUACGGAACUGCCCGGGUAACCGGGAGGAAGGUGAGGACGACGUCAAGUCAGCAUGGCCCUUACGCCUGGGGCUUCACACAUGCUACAAUGGCCGGUACAAAGGGCUCCGAUACCGUGAGGUGGAGGCAAUCCCAAAAAGCCGGUCUCAGUUCGGAUCGCAGGCUGCAACUCGCCUGCGUGAAGUCGGAAUCGCUAGUAACCGCCGGUCAGCUAAACGGCGGUGAAUACGUUCCCGGGCCUUGUACACACCGCCCGU